rfam:Triticum urartu cultivar G1812 contig571460, whole genome shotgun sequence.
UCAUUCGGAUUCACCAUCAUAUGUCCAACCGUGCAUUUGAUAUGCAUAUAUAUGCAUCACGAGCCACGGUUGGGCUGUAUGAUGGCGAUACCGAUUGG